GUGGCCACCACGGUUUUGGGAGGUUUGUGGGCAUUAGAGUUGGCGUGGCAAAUUUUUUUUGGGUCAAUCGAUAGGUAUCGAUGAGACAAAUACGUUUUAGCAAAAUAAA